AUUGAACGCUGGCGGCAUGCCCUACACAUGCAAGUCGAACAGUAACAGGUCUUCGGAUGCUGACGAGUGGCGAACGGGUGAGUAAUAUAUCGGAACGUGCCCAGUAGUUGGGGAUAGCCCGGCGAAAGCCGGAUUAAUACCGCAUACGACCUGAGGGUGAAAGGGGGGGAUUCGCAAGAACCUCUCGCUAUUGGAGCGGCCGAUAUCAGAUUAGGUAGUUGGUGGGGUAAAGGCCUACCAAGCCUGCGAUCUGUAGUUGGUCUGAGAGGACGACCAGCCACACUGGGACUGAGACACGGCCCAGACUCCUACGGGAGGCAGCAGUGGGGAAUUUUGGACAAUGGGCGCAAGCCUGAUCCAGCAAUGCCGCGUGCAGGAAGAAGGCCUUCGGGUUGUAAACUGCUUUUGUCAGGGAAGAAAUCCUCUGGGUUAAUACCUCGGGGGGAUGACGGUACCUGAAGAAUAAGCACCGGCUAACUACGUGCCAGCCGCCGCCGUAAGAC
rnacentral:rRNA from 1 species